rnacentral:rRNA from 1 species
GAUGAACGCUGGCGGCGUGCCUAACACAUGCAAGUCGAACGAAGCACCUUACCUGAUUCUUCGGAUGAAGGUCUGGUGACUGAGUGGCGGACGGGUGAGUAACGCGUGGGUAACCUGCCCUGUACAGGGGGAUAACAGUUGGAAACGGCUGCUAAUACCGCAUAAGCGCACGAGAGGACAUCCUCUUGUGUGAAAAACUCCGGUGGUACAGGAUGGGCCCGCGUCUGAUUAGCUGGUUGGCAGGGUAACGGCCUACCAAGGCGACGAUCAGUAGCCGGUCUGAGAGGAUGAACGGCCACAUUGGAACUGAGACACGGUCCAAACUCCUACGGGAGGCAGCAGUGGGGAAUAUUGCACAAUGGGGGAAACCCUGAUGCAGCAACGCCGCGUGAGUGAAGAAGUAUUUCGGUAUGUAAAGCUCUAUCAGCAGGGAAGAUAAUGACGGUACCUGACUAAGAAGCUCCGGCUAAAUACGUGCCAGCAGCCGCGGUAAUACGUAUGGAGCAAGCGUUAUCCGGAUUUACUGGGUGUAAAGGGUGCGUAGGUGGCAGUGCAAGUCAGAUGUGAAAGGCCGGGGCUCAACCCCGGAGCUGCAUUUGAAACUGCAUAGCUAGAGUACAGGAGAGGCAGGCGGAAUUCCUAGUGUAGCGGUGAAAUGCGUAGAUAUUAGGAGGAACACCAGUGGCGAAGGCGGCCUGCUGGACUGUUACUGACACUGAGGCACGAAAGCGUGGGGAGCAAACAGG